CACGUAGGAGGCAAACGUUAUCCGGAUUUACUGGGCGUAAAGCGCGUGUAGGUGGUACUGUAAGUAGGGCGUGAAAGCUCCUGGCUCAACUGGGAGAGGCCGUUCUAAACUGCAGCACUCGAGUUUGGUAGAGGAAGAUGGAAUUCCAGGUGUAGCGGUAAAAUGCGCAGAUAUCUGGAGGAACACCAGUGGCGAAAGCGGUCUUCUAGACCAAUACUGACACUCAGACGCGAAAGCUAGGGUAGCAAACGGGAUUAGAAACCCGUGUAGUCC
rnacentral:rRNA from 1 species